GGGUUCACUUGUAGCAUCAGAGGGUUACUUGCGGGACUGGGCACAGUAUUAUUCAAGCUUCCAAUAGUCACUCUGGCAUCUGAGAAGCUAGUUGCAAGUGUAAAGCCUGCUGUAUCAUCAUUGCGAUUAAAUUCUCCAAUGUGAGUAUUGGAUUUUGCCUGCAGCUGGUUAGGCUCCACUGAUGAUUGAACACCUUGAAACAAAUUUGCACCUUGGCUUGCAGGCAAAAGAGCCGGCUGAAACUUUCCAAGAGUAUUAACAGAAUUACUCAGAGAUUGGGAAUGGCCAGACUGGAGAAGACCAGAAGAAGAUAUACCUCGCAAGGUUAAACCACCAGGAGAGUUCAAUCUGCCAAGC
rnacentral:misc_RNA from 1 species